rnacentral:rRNA from 1 species
AGAGUUUGAUCCUGGCUCAGGAUGAACGCUGGCGGCGUGCUUAACACAUGCAAGUCGAGCGAAGCACCUUGACGGAUUUCUUCGGAUUGAAGCCUUGGUGACUGAGCGGCGGACGGGUGAGUAACGCGUGGGUAACCUGCCUCAUACAGGGGGAUAACAGUUGGAAACGGCUGCUAAUACCGCAUAAGCGCACAGUACCGCAUGGUACGGUGUGAAAAACUCCGGUGGUAUGAGAUGGACCCGCGUCUGAUUAGGUAGUUGGUGGGGUAACGGCCUACCAAGCCGACGAUCAGUAGCCGACCUGAGAGGGUGACCGGCCACAUUGGGACUGAGACACGGCCCAAACUCCUACGGGAGGCAGCAGUGGGGAAUAUUGCACAAUGGGGGAAACCCUGAUGCAGCGACGCCGCGUGAAGGAAGAAGUAUCUCGGUAUGUAAACUUCUAUCAGCAGGGAAGAAAAUGACGGUACCUGACUAAGAAGCCCCGGCUAACUACGUGCCAGCAGCCGCGGUAAUACGUAGGGGGCAAGCGUUAUCCGGAAUUACUGGGUGUAAAGGGUGCGUAGGUGGUAUGGCAAGUCAGAAGUGAAAACCCAGGGCUUAACUCUGGGACUGCUUUUGAAACUGUCAGACUGGAGUGCAGGAGAGGUAAGCGGAAUUCCUAGUGUAGCGGUGAAAUGCGUAGAUAUUAGGAGGAACACCAGUGGCGAAGGCGGCUUACUGGACGGUAACUGACGUUGAGGCUCGAAAGCGUGGGGAGCAAACAGGAUUAGAUACCCUGGUAGUCCACGCC